rnacentral:rRNA from 1 species
GACGAACGCUGGCGGCGUGCUUAACACAUGCAAGUCGAGCGGUAAGGCCCUUUCGGGGGUACGACGAGCGGCGAACGGGUGAGUAACACGUGGGUGACCUGCCCUCAGCUCUGGGAUAAGCCUGGGAAACCGGGUCUAAUACUGGAUAUGACUCCAUGACGCAUGUUGGUGGGGUGGAAAGCCUUGUGCGGCUGAGGAUGGGCCCGCGGCCUAUCAGCUUGUUGGUGGGGUGAGGCCUACCAAGGCGACGACGGGUAGCCGGCCUGAGAGGGCGACCGGCCACACUGGGACUGAGACACGGCCCAGACUCCUACGGGAGGCAGCAGUGGGGAAUCUUGCGCAAUGGGCGAAAGCCUGACGCAGCGACGCCGCGUGAGGGAUGACGGCCU